ensembl:snRNA Gm25521 predicted gene, 25521
GUGAGUCCACAGUAAGGAAACACAUACCCUAAAAUUUGAAUAAUACCGAGAUUAGCAUCAGUCCUGAGCACGGAUGACAAGCAAUUUCAUCAAGCAUUUCAUAUUUAAUUUUUU